rnacentral:sRNA from 1 species
UCGAACCAUCGCCUCUCAAUUU